UGCAGGAGAACAAUCCAUUUAUAUCGA
rnacentral:piRNA from 1 species